rnacentral:rRNA from 1 species
GACGAACAGCUGGCGGCGUGCUUAACACAUGCAAGUCGAACGAUGAUGCUGGGGCUUGCUUCAGCGGAUUAGUGGCGAACGGGUGAGUAACACGUGAGUAACCUGCCCUUGACUCUGGGAUAAGCGUUGGAAACGACGUCUAAUACCGGAUACGACGGCCCGCCGCAUGGUGUGGUUGUGGAAAGAUUUUUUGGUCAGGGAUGGACUCGCGGCCUAUCAGGUUGUUGGUGGGG